AUGAAGGAUGUGCAGGUCACUCACCUUGGCUUGGGCAGCCCCCACGGCACCAAACGGAGCCCACGGCACCAAACGGAGCCCACGCCGGGACCUGUGAUGCUGCCCUGCAGUUCUGUGCCGAUCACUUCCCAUACAGACAGCUGUGUGCACACUGAGCUGCCGGCACUGCCGCUAUCACUUGCAGCUGUGACAGUGGUUCCCGGUGCGUGCCGUACCUCACACAGAACUCGUAGGUCAGCCUUCCAUCGAGCACCAACCAAACCCAGCCGGGGACACCCAACGAGUCCUGAACUCAGCACACCAACAAACUCAAAGCCCACGCGUAUCUACUUACUAUUCUCCACACACACCAUCUCCGUGCCACGCUUCCCCGCCUGCAGGGGGGCUCCCCUCAACUCGCUGCACAAGCGGCCUAUGGAGCUCGGACCGACCUCACGGCGCGGAGCGGACAGCGCUGUGCCCCGCACCACGGCAACGCUGCGCCAACAGCGGAGCGACUCCAGCCGUCCCGGGCCCCAGCGGCACAACAACACAGCGGCACAACACAGCGGCACAACAACGGAGCGGCACAACAACGGAGCGGCACAGCGGAGCGGCACAGCGCAGUGCCCCGGCCCGUCCGCACGGGACAGCCCCGAUCCCAGCGGCGAGUUGUCGGGGGGCGGCGCCGCCUCCAAACUUUCCCGGCCGUGGAGCUGCUCCCGCGCGGCCCCUCCAAAGAGAGCCGGCCCGCCCGCAACGCGGGGACACACCGCGGCCCCGGGGUGCCCAGCGCCGCGCACGGCCGCGUCGGAGCACGGCACGGCAUGGAACACACAACACAGCACAGCACACACAGCACGGCACGGCAUGGAACACACAACACAGCACAGCACACACAGCACGGCANGGCACGGCAUGGAACACACAACACAGCACAGCACACACAGCACGGCACGGCAUGGAACACACAACACAGCACAGCACACACAGCACGGCACGGCACACACACACAGCACGGCACGUACCUGCCGCACCGCAUCGCGCUGCUCCGUUCCGGCGGGGCCCCGCGGCGCGCGCCUCGCGCGUGACCGACACCGCGAGGGGCGAGUGGAGCGCGGCGCGCGCCCGGCCGCCCUUCCCGCAGAGUCGCCUUGGAAACGGCGCGCGGCGACACCGGGGGGAGGAGCGGGCGGCGGUUUAAAGGGGGCGCGCGCGCGUGCUCGUCCCGCCUCACGUGGGCGCCGCCGAGCCAAUGGGAGACGGCGGACGGCGGGCGCCGUAGUACUACGGCCCGGGGAAGGCGAGGCGCCACAGCGCGGGGCGGGGCCGGGCCGGGCGGCGCGCAGCGAUCAGGGCAGGACGACACGCCCACAGAGCCGGCUGAACCACGGCGGGAGGUGA
rnacentral:lncRNA from 1 species